rnacentral:rRNA from 1 species
CCCUGGCUCAGGACGAACGCAGGCGGCGUGCCUAAUACAUGCAAGUCGAGCGGAAUGAUGAAGAAGCUUGCUUCUUCUGAUUUUAGCGGCGGACGGGUGAGUAACACGUGGGCAACCUACCUUGUAGAUUGGGAUAACUCCGGGAAACCGGGGCUAAUACCGAAUAAUCCAUUUUGCUUCAUGGCAAGAUGUUGAAAGGCGGCUUCGGCUGUCACUACGAGAUGGGCCCGCGGCGUAUUAGCUAGUUGGUAGGGUAAUGGCCUACCAAGGCGACGAUACGUAGCCGACCUGAGAGGGUGAUCGGCCACACUGGGACUGAGACACGGCCCAGACUCCUACGGGAGGCAGCAGUAGGGAAUCUUCCACAAUGGACGAAAGUCUGAUGGAGCAACGCCGCGUGAGUGAAGAAGGUUUUCGGAUCGUAAAACUCUGUUGUAAGGGAAGAACACGUACGAGAGUAACUGCUCGUACCUUGACCGGUACCUUAUUAGAAAGCCACGGCUAACUA